rnacentral:lncRNA from 1 species
GCUAUGGUUUUUUUUUCUGGACAAAUUUUUUUUUCUCGCCGCAAUCUAUUUUUUUCGCGACAAGUCGAAAACAAUUUUUUUCUUUCAAUUUUAGCUUUACAUAUAGUGGCAGCUCUGGGUGAAACAAACAAAUUUUUUUUCUCAGAAUCAAAAACAAAUUAUUUUUUUCUCCAAAAACUGGAAACAAACUUUUUUUUCAAA